AGCUUCUGCGUAGAGUCGCUUCUGCCGCUGCACAGCGCCACCGCCGGUGCGAGGAUGACGUCCAUGCUCGCCAUCCCUGGCCGAGGCCUCGGGUGGCUCAUCCAAGGGCUUGAUGAAACUAGAUGAAGAGCAACCGGGGAAAGCGGAAACCGAUGGAGUAUGAUGCCAGCGCUUUAGGAACCAGGAGAUCAGUGGUGCUUGGAGUUCUUUUUGUGACCCUGCAGAAUGAGCUGACAAAAAAAACAUACGUUUUACUUUAUCUGUAUGUGAACUGCGACGAUGACUUGAUGAAGAAUUUUGUAUGGUGCUCUGUUUUUCGUUGUGAAAAUUGUUUGGCUUGGUUUGUUCA